UACGGAGGGCGCGAGCGUUAAUCGGAAUUACUGGGCGUAAAGCGCGCGCAGGCUGUUGUGUAAGUUGGGGGUGAAAUCCCACGGCUCAACCGUGGAACAGCCCUUGAUACUGCGCGACUUGAAUCCGGGAGAGGGUGGCGGAAUUCCAGGUGUAGGAGUGAAAUCCGUAGAUAUCUGGAGGAACAUCAGUGGCGAAGGCGGCCACCUGGACCGGUAUUGACGCUGAGGCGCGAAAGCGUGGGGAGCAAACAGG
rnacentral:rRNA from 1 species